rnacentral:rRNA from 1 species
AAUCAACGCUGGCGGCGUGCCUCAGACAUGCAAGUCGAACGAUUAAAGCUCCCUUCGGGGAGUGCAUAAAGUGGCGCACGGGUGAGUAACACGUAAGUAAUCUACCCUCGGGUGGGGAAUAACAUCGGGAAACCGAUGCUAAUACCGCAUAAUGCAGCGGCACCGCAAGGUGACAGUUGUUAAAGAUUUAUUGCCUGGGGAGGAGCUUGCGGCAGAUUAGCNGUUGGUAAGGUAACGGCUUACCAAGGCUACGAUCUGUAUCCGGUCUAAGAGGACGGUCGGACACACUGACACUGAAUAACGGGUCAGACUCCUACGGGAGGCAGCAGUCGGGAAUUUUGGGCAAUGGGGGAAACCCUGACCCAGCAACGCCGCGUGAAGGAUGAAGUAUUUCGGUAUGUAAACUUCGAAAGAAUAGGAAGAAUUAAUGACGGUACUAUUUAUAAGGUCCGGCUAACUACGUGCCAGCCGCCGCGGUAA